GACGUAGGGCGCGAGCGUUGUCCGGAUUUAUUGGGCGUAAAGAGCUCGUAGGCGGCUUGUCGCGUCGUCCGUGAAAACCUGCAGCUCAACUGCAGGCUUGCGGUCGAUACGGGCAGGCUAGAGUUCGGUAGGGGAGACUGGAAUUCCUGGUGUAGCGGUGAAAUGCGCAGAUAUCAGGAGGAACACCGGUGGCGAAGGCGGUUCUCUGGCAAUGUUCUGACGCUGGAGGAGCGAAAGCUAGGGGAGCAAACAGG
rnacentral:rRNA from 1 species